rnacentral:rRNA from 1 species
UACGUAGGGUGCAAGCGUUGUCCGGAAUUAUUGGGCGUAAAGAGCUCGUAGGCGGUCUGUCGCGUCUGCUGUGAAAACUCGGGGGCUUAACCCCCGGGCCUGCAGUGGGUACGGGCAGACUAGAGUGCGGUAGGGGGAGACUGGAAUUCCUGGUGUAGCGGUGAAAAUGCGCAGAUAUCAGGAGGAACACCGGUGGCGAAGGCGGGGUCUCUGGGCCGAUACUGACGCUGAGGAGCGAAAGCGUGGGGAGCGAACAGG